AACCGUCAAAUCACCUUAAACCCUUUUGGCUAUGAGGUUGUCCCCUUGCGGUUUUUUUUUCUGUUACAAUUAUGACUAAAAUUGGAGUUUUUUUUUUCUCAGAGGGAAAGCUACAACUCAUCUGAAAGUAGUAAAAAUUUCCUGUGAUCCCCCACCAGUCUAUGAUUAUCAGGUGCCUGUCUUUGUCGAACCCUUGGAAAAGUUUCAGUCAGAGCAAUGGGAUCUUACUACUCAACAGAUUUUGCCAUUCAUAGACGGAUUCAAUCAUGUUGCAAAAUAGCCUCUGAGGCAGAUGUUGAAAAUAAUCUAGUCAAGUCGUGUUUACAAAAUUUGCUCUACUACGGUGUGGUCAGCUUAAUUCCUAUAUUCCAGUAUUCCAAUAUGUACGCUGCUACGCCAAAAUACGGAAAUUGAGUACAGAAAGAUCUCUGCAAGAAAGUUGUGUCCGAGCGGCAGCAUUGGCAGGUCGGUGAGAAUUAAAAAGUUCUUUAUUAUUUCUUCUCAUUUUAAAUUUGUUGCUUAACCCCCUUAAAGCCCUAUUUAUUUGAACACUUUUAUUAUUCGGACAUAGCUUCUAACAUUGAUACCUUUUGAUUUCAGGCAGUCCCUUUCCGACGGUGAAAAUAUUCUCAGGCUGCUUUGCUCCAUGACUCACGGUACUACAGUCCGGACAUUUGUCUUAGGUAUAAUCCAUCCACAUUAAAUAUAGACAUCUGUAAAUUAGUUCAAUUUGCUGUGCUACAAGGACUUAUCCGAAAAAUUCGUAAGGUGAGUGCUCUGAUUCAACUUUAAAAUAUUCCUCUUCAACGGCGGAUUCUGCAAAUUGGCAACAUUUUCUUUUCUCCAUUUAAGCCAGGGGCCAGGUGAUCCGACAAGAAUCGAUUAUUUAGCUUAGGUUUAAAUAGAGAAAAUCCGUUGUUGACAAAUUAUUAGAUCGGCCUCUGUUCCUCUUUUUUUCUGUCAUUGCCACUUAAAUGACAGUGAACAAAAAGAAGGAAAAAAGGAAAGUCCAAAAAAUCCUAGUAAGUAAAAUAGUGAAAACUGUUUGUUUUGAUCCGCUCAAGAGCCCAGUGAGCAGAAGUAAUGGUGGACUUUUUUCAACUACCCACAUGUGUGCACUAGGAUAAAACUUUUCUUUUUAAAUCGGUCAAAUCAAAAGUUGCAUGGUCUUAGACCAUGCUGUGAUAAAAAAAAAUAGUGUAGACCAAAGGAUUUUGAAAACAUUGUUUUUACUAUCCUAGUAACCGAAAUAAAAAUCCACAAAUCAGUGCACAUUUCGUCACCUUCCGGGCAAAGUAUCACAAGCGCCAUGCGACGUUUCAAAAUGUCCACCGCCAUUUUAUUUUUUUACAGAGUAAUUGUUCAAUGAAGCUGUCCGAAAAUUUCUUUGAAUUUUCU
rnacentral:lncRNA from 1 species